AGGAUGAGACUGCGUCUGAUUAGGUAGUUGGUGGGGUAACGGCCCACCAAGCCCAUCAUCAGUACGGGUUGUGGGAGCAAGAUCCCGGAGAUGGAUUCUGAGACAUGAAUCCAGGCCCUACGGGGCGCAGCAGGCGCGCAAACUUUACAAUGCGAGCAAUCGUGAUAAGGAAACCCUGAGUGCCUGUUGAUGCAGGCUGUUCAUAUAUUUAAAUUGUAUGUGAAGAAAGGGCAGGGCAAGACCGGUGCCAGCCGCCGCGGUAAUACCGGCUGCUCGAGUGAUGGCCACUAUUACUGGGUUUAAAGCGUCCGUAGCUUGAUUUUUAGGUCUCUUGGGAAAUCUUUUGGCUUAACCACAAGGCGUCUAAGAGAUACCGGAAAUCUUGGAACUGGGAGAGGUAAGCCGUACUUCGGGGGUAGGAGUGAAAUCUUGUAAUCCUCGAGGGACGACCUAUGGCGAAGGCAGCUUACCAGAACAGCUUCGACAGUGAGGGACGAAAGCUGGGGGAGCAAACGGGAUUAGAUACCCCGGUAGUCCCAGCCGUAAACAAUGUGCGUUAGGUGUGUCGGUUACCACGCGUAACUGAUGCGCCGAAGAGAAAUCGUGAAACGCACCACCUGGGAAGUACGGUCGCAAGGCUGAAACUUAAAGGAAUUGGCGGGGGAGCACCACAACAGGUGGAGCCUGCGGUUUAAUUGGAU
rnacentral:rRNA from 1 species